rnacentral:rRNA from 1 species
GACGAACGCUGGCGGCGUGGAUUAGGCAUGCAAGUCGAACGGUAUCAUCCUUUCGGGGGUGAGAGAGUGGCGAACUGGUGAGUAACACGUAGGUUAUCUACCCUCAAGACGGGGACAACCCAGGGAAACUUGGGCUAAUACCGGAUGUGAGCAACUUUUAGUUGUUUGAAAGGUGGCGUAAGCUGUCGCUUGGGGAUGAGCCUGCGUCCUAUUAGUUAGUUGGUGAGGUAACGGCUCACCUAGGCAAUGAUAGGUAGGCGGCCUUAACGGGUGGUCGCCCACACUGGGGAUUGAGAUACGGCCCAGACUCCUACGGGAGGCAGCAGUCGAGAAUAGUCUACAAUGGUCGGAAGACUGAUAGUGCGACGCCGCGUGAACGAUGAAUCCCUUCGGGGUGUAAAGUUCUUUUAUAUGUGAGCAGUGCUUCUUAUAUUAACGUAUGGGGAAGAGAUAUUAGCAUAUGAAUAAGCAACGGCUAACUCCGUGCCAGCAGCCGGGUAAAACG